CUUCAGCAUGAGCAUCAACCAGUAUCCUUGUCAGGUGGCCCCCAUUCCUCUACAUUCCUGGAUGGUUUGGGAUCCCACAGAACUCUAAUGAUUACAUAAGAAGAGUGGCCCGCUCUCUCCGGUCCAUGCCUCCAAGAUGACAAAGAAAAGAAGGAACAACAGUCAUGCCAAAAAGGGCCGCGGCCACGUGCAGCCUAUUCGCUGCACUAACUGUGUCCGAUGCGUGCCCACAGACAAGGCCAUUAAGAAAUUCGUCAUUCGAAACAUAGUGGAGGCCGCAGCAGUCAGGGACAUUUCUGAAGUGAGCGUCUUCGAUGCCUAUGUGCUUCCCAAGCUGUAUGUGAAGCUACAUUACUGUGUGAGUUGUGCAAUUCACAGCAAAGUAGUCAGGAAUCGAUCUCGUGAAGCCUGCAAGGACCGAACACCCCCACCCCGAUUUAGACCUGCGGGUGCUGCCCCACGUCCCCCACCAAAGCCCAUGUAAGGAGCUGAGUUCUUAAAGACUGAAGACAGGCUAUUCUCUGGAGAAAAAUAAAAUGGAAAUUGUACUUAAAAAAAAAAAAAAA